GUUUGAUCAUGGCUCAGAUUGAACGCUGGCGGCAGGCUUAACACAUGCAAGUCGAGCGGGGGAAGGUAGCUUGCUACUGGACCUAGCGGCGGACGGGUGAGUAAUGCUUAGGAAUCUGCCUAUUAGUGGGGGACAACAUCUCGAAAGGGAUGCUAAUACCGCAUACGUCCUACGGGAGAAAGCAGGGGAUCUUCGGACCUUGCGCUAAUAGAUGAGCCUAAGUCGGAUUAGCUAGUUGGUGGGGUAAAGGCCUACCAAGGCGACGAUCUGUAGCGGGUCUGAGAGGAUGAUCCGCCACACUGGGACUGAGACACGGCCCAGACUCCUACGGGAGGCAGCAGUGGGGAAUAUUGGACAAUGGGGGGAACCCUGAUCCAGCCAUGCCGCGUGUGUGAAGAAGGCCUUAUGGUUGUAAAGCACUUUAAGCGAGGAGGAGGCUACUUUAGUUAAUACCUAGAGAUAGUGGACGUUACUCGCAGAAUAAGCACCGGCUAACUCUGUGCCAGCAGCCGCGGUAAUACAGAGGGUGCGAGCGUUAAUCGGAUUUACUGGGCGUAAAGCGUGCGUAGGCGGCUUAUUAAGUCGGAUGUGAAAUCCCCGAGCUUAACUUGGGAAUUGCAUUCGAUACUGGUGAGCUAGAGUAUGGGAGAGGAUGGUAGAAUUCCAGGUGUAGCGGUGAAAUGCGUAGAGAUCUGGAGGAAUACCGAUGGCGAAGGCAGCCAUCUGGCCUAAUACUGACGCUGAGGUACGAAAGCAUGGGGAGCAAACAGGAUUAGAUACCCUGGUAGUCCAUGCCGUAAACGAUGUCUACUAGCCGUUGGGGCCUUUGAGGCUUUAGUGGCGCAGCUAACGCGAUAAGUAGACCGCCUGGGGAGUACGGUCGCAAGACUAAAACUCAAAUGAAUUGACGGGGGCCCGCACAAGCGGUGGAGCAUGUGGUUUAAUUCGAUGCAACGCGAAGAACCUUACCUGGCCUUGACAUACUAGAAACUUUCCAGAGAUGGAUUGGUGCCUUCGGGAAUCUAGAUACAGGUGCUGCAUGGCUGUCGUCAGCUCGUGUCGUGAGAUGUUGGGUUAAGUCCCGCAACGAGCGCAACCCUUUUCCUUACUUGCCAGCAUUUCGGAUGGGAACUUUAAGGAUACUGCCAGUGACAAACUGGAGGAAGGCGGGGACGAC
rnacentral:rRNA from 1 species